rnacentral:misc_RNA from 1 species
GAAAUGCGAUAACUAGUGUGAAUUGCAGAAUUCCGUGAAUCAUCGAGUCUUUGAACGCACAUUGCACCCCCUGGUAUUCCGGGGGGCAUGCCUGUCCGAGCGUCAUUGCUGCCCAUCAAGCACGGCUUGUGUGUUGGGUCGUCGUCCCCUCUCCGGGGGGGACGGGCCCCAAAGGCAGCGGCGGCACCGCGUCCGAUCCUCGAGCGUAUGGGGCUUUGUCACCCGCUCUGUAGGCCCGGCCGGCGCUUGCCGAACGCAAAUCAAUCUUUUUCCAGGUUGACCUCGGAUCAGGUAGGGAUACCCGCUGAACUUAAGC